rnacentral:rRNA from 1 species
CGGCGGACGGGUGAGUAACACGUGGAUAACCUACCUAUAAGACUGGGAUAACUUCGGGAAACCGGAGCUAAUACCGGAUAAUAUAUUGAACCGCAUGGUUCAAUAGUGAAAGACGGUUUUGUUGUCACUUAUAGAUGGAUCCGCGCCGCAUUAGCUAGUUGGUAAGGUAACGGCUUACCAAGGCAACGAUGCGUAGCCGACCUGAGAGGGUGAUCGGCCACACUGGAACUGAGACACGGUCCAG